rnacentral:rRNA from 1 species
CCUACUGGGGCAGCAGUGGGGAAUAUUGGACAAUGGGCGAAAGCCUGAUCCAGCCAUGCCGCGUGUGUGAAGAAGGCCUUCGGGUUGUAAAGCACUUUCAGUGGGGAAGAAAGCCUUGGGGCUAAUACCCUCGAGGAAGGACAUCACCCACAGAAGAAGCACCGGCUAACUCCGUGCCAGCAGCCGCGGUAAUACGGAGGGUGCGAGCGUUAAUCGGAAUUACUGGGCGUAAAGCGCGCGUAGGCGGUCUGAUAAGCCGGUUGUGAAAGCCCCGGGCUCAACCUGGGAACGGCAUCCGGAACUGUCAGGCUAGAGUGCAGGAGAGGAAGGUAGAAUUCCCGGUGUAGCGGUGAAAUGCGUAGAGAUCGGGAGGAAUACCAGUGGCGAAGGCGGCCUUCUGGACUGACACUGACGCUGAGGUGCGAAAGCGUGGGUAGCAAACAGGAUUAGAUACCCCGGUAGUC